AGUGAACGCUGGCGGUAGGCCUAACACAUGCAAGUCGAACGGCAGCACAGUAAGAGCUUGCUCUUACGGGUGGCGAGUGGCGGACGGGUGAGGAUUACAUCGGAAUCUACUUUUUCGUGGGGGAUAACGUAGGGAAACUUACGCUAAUACCGCAUACGACCUACGGGUGAAAGCAGGGGAUCUUCGGACCUUGCGCGAUUGAAUGAGCCGAUGUCGGAUUAGCUAGUUGGCGGGGUAAAGGCCCACCAAGGCGACGAUCCGUAGCUGGUCUGAGAGGAUGAUCAGCCACACUGGAACUGAGACACGGUCCAGACUCCUACGGGAGGCAGCAGUGGGGAAUAUUGGACAAUGGGCGCAAGCCUGAUCCAGCCAUACCGCGUGGGUGAAGAAGGCCUUCGGGUUGUAAAGCCCUUUUGUUGGGAAAGAAAAGCAGCAGGUUAAUACCCCGCUGUUCUGACGGUACCCAAAGAAUAAGCACUGGCUAACUUCGUG
rnacentral:rRNA from 1 species